rnacentral:misc_RNA from 1 species
GAUGAAGAACGUAGCGAAAUGCGAUAAGUAAUGUGAAUUGCAGAAUUCAGUGACUCAUCGAAUCUUUGAACGCACCUUGCGCCCCCUGGUAUUCCGGGGGGCAUGCCUGUCCGAGCGUCAUUGCUGCCCUCAAGCACGGCUUGUGUGUUGGGCCCCGCCCCCCGGCUCCCGGGGGGCGGGCCCGAAAGGCAGCGGCGGCACCGCGUCCGGUCCUCGAGCGUAUGGGGCUUCGUCACCCGCUCCGUAGGCCCGGCCGGCGCCCGCCGGCGACCCCCCUCAAUCUUUUCAGGUUGACCUCGGAUCAGGUAGGGAUACCCGCUGAACUUAAGCAUAUCAAUAAGCGGAGGA